rnacentral:miRNA from 1 species
UUCCUUCCGGUCAUCAAGACCAUUUGAUGACCAGAAGGGAUUCCUUCCGGUCAUCAAGACCAUUUGAUGACCGGAAGGGAUUCCUUCCAGUCAUCAAGACCAUUUGAUGACCGGAAGGGA